UACUUCUAAGGAAGGCAGCAGGCGCGCAAAUUACCCAAUCCUUAUUCAGGGAGGUAGUGACAAGAAAUAACAAUAGUUCGGCUUCUAGCCAGACUAAUUGGAAUGGGCACAAUUUAAACAUCUUGACGAGAAACAAUUGGAGGGCAAGUCUGGUGCCAGCAGCCGCGGUAAUUCCAGCCCCAAUAGCGUAUACUAAAGUUGUUGCAGUUAAAAAGCUCGUAGUUGGAUUUCUGCUCGAGAGGAACGUCUGGCGUUAUUAACGUUUAGGCUGAGUUCUCGUGCAUCUGCUCACGAACCAUAUUGCUCUUAACUGAGUGACGUCGGGGAUUGAUUCAUUUACUUUGAGAAAAAUAAAGUGUUUAAAGCAGGUUUAUGCAUCUGAAUAAGUUGGCAUGGAAUAAUGAUAAAGGACUUUGGUACUAUUUGUUGGUGUUAGAAACUGAAGUAAUGAUUAAUAGGGACAGUUGGGGGCAUUAGUAUUCUGAAGCAAGAGGUGAAAUUCUAGGACCUUUGGAAGACUAACUGCUGCGAAAGCGUUUGCCAAGGAUGUUCCCUUUGAUCAAGAACGAAAGUUGGGGGAUCGAAGACGAUCAGAUACCGUCGUAGUCUCAACUAUAAACUAUACCAACUAGGGAUCAGCCGGCGUUUUUUUCAACGGGCCCGGUUGGCACCUUUUGAGAAAUCAAAGUAUUUGGGUUCCGGGGGGAGUAUGGUCGCAAGGCUGAAACUUAAAGGAAUUGACGGAAGGGCACCACCAGGUGUGGAGCCUGUGACUUAAUUUGACUCAACACGGGAAAACUUACCAGGUCCAAACAUAAUUAGGAUUGACAGAUUGAGAGCCCUUUCUUGAUUUUAUGGGUGGUGGUGCAUGGCCGUUCUUAGUUGGUGGAGUGAUUUGUCUGGUUAAUUCCGUUAACGAACGAGACCCCAGCCUGCUAAAUAGCGCACGUGUGCGUUUGCAUGCGGUGAGCUUCUUAGAGGGACCAUAGCUCGCAAUACAGUCCAGGGAAGUUUGGGGCAAUAACAGGUCUGUGAUGCCCUUAGAUGUUCUGGGCCGCACACGGGCUACAUUGAUGCAUGCAAUGAGCAUAUCAGCUGGCUAUAAAUAGUCUUUGGCUAACCUUUUGAACUUGCAUCGUACUAGGGAUUGACUAUUGUAAUUGUUAGUCAUGCAACGAGGAAUAUCUUGUAAAUAUGAGUCAUCAACUUACAUUGAAUAUGUCCCUGCCCUUUGUACACACCGCCCGUCGCUCCUACCGAUGAAUGUUCCGAUGAAAUUUUUAGAGGGGUUUUAUAAUCUGGGUUUACCCGGACGUCCGAAAUCGCAAAAUUGUUUAAAUCUGAAUAUUUCGAGG
rnacentral:rRNA from 1 species